rnacentral:misc_RNA from 1 species
GAUGAAGAACGCAGCGAAAUGCGAUAAGUAAUGCGAAUUGCAGAAUUCCAGUGAGUCAUCGAAGCUUUGAACGCACAUUGCGCCCUUUGGUAUUCCGAAGGGCAUGCCUGUUCGAGCGUCAUUAUCACCCCUCAAGCCCUCGGCUUGGUGUUGGACGGUUUGGUGGAGGCCCCCUCGGGGGCUCCUGCCCCUCCCAAAGACAAUGACGGCGGCCUCGUUGGACCCCCGGUACACUGAGUUCUUCACGGGACACGUAUCGGACACAUGGGUUUACGGGACACGGUCUGCCUCCCCUCAGGGAGAAUCUUUCUAAGGUUGACCUCGGAUCAGGUAGGGAUACCCGCUGAACUUAAGCAUAUCAAUAAGCGGAGGA